rnacentral:rRNA from 1 species
AGUGAACGCUGGCGGCAGGCCUAACACAUGCAAGUCGAACGGCAGCACAGUAACUGCUUGCUCUUACGGAGGGGGAGUGGCGGGAGGGACGCGUAUAUAUCCUAACCUGCAUCGGCGGGGGAGUUAAGGUAGGGAAACUUACUCCAACACAGCAGACGACGUCCGAGGGCAAUCACUGGAUCUUCGGACUUUCCGCGAUACCAGGUGGCGAUGUCGGGUUAGAGAGUUGGCGGGGUAAAAGGGCACCAAGGCGACGAUCCGUAGCUGGGCUGAGAGGAUGAUCAGCCACACUGGAACUGAGACACGGUCCAGACUCCUACGGGAGGCAGCAGUGGGGAAUAUUGGACAAUGGGCGAAAGCCUGAUCCAGCCAGACCGGGUGGGUGAAGAAGGCCUUCGGGUUGUAAAGCCCUUUUGUUGGGAAGGAAGAGCAGCAGGUUAAUACCUUGCUGUUCUGACGGUACCCAAAGAAUAAGCACCGGCUAACUUCGUG